rnacentral:lncRNA from 1 species
AUUGUGAACUCCAGAGGUAAUAUGCUGCAUUGCUUGUAUAACCCUGACUGCUGAUUCAGGUAGGCCAAAGUCUUUCCUUUUUGGCCAGUCUCUGGCAACAAAUUUUUCCAGUGUCUUUCAGACUGUGAUAGAAGGCUAGGAGGUUUUGAGCUUGAAUUUAACUCUGUUUCUCUUAGUUGACUUGGUUUAUGGAAGGUGGCAGCCAGUUAAGCGUUGUGGUUACAAAUGGAACUGUAAUUUGCUACGCCUACGGGUGGAGAAGAAGUUCAACAUACAUUACAUGGAGUGGUUUUUUCAAUUACAGAAGUUCGAAACUGUCCAGGUCAUUUGUCUCUUUGAAUCAAAGAUUGUAGUGGACAUUAUAAAGGUGGGGAGAUGCCGCCCUGUUUUUUGAUUUGUUAUUUGUCAGCCCCACAACUGUUGCUUCUGCCUUGUUUCAAUCAAAAGUUAGCCUUGUACCCAUCUCUCUACUAACCAGUGUACAAUUUCUUUCCCCUCUUCUUUGCCACAUUGGAAAAGGAGCUUUAAGAAUUUGAAGGAGUCGCGGACAUUAAAGAGUGGAAGGGUCUAAAUUCACUAUUUAUAAUAUUUGUUAGAAACGGGAGAUGGGGCAGGAGAGACGUUGUGAAGUUAUGAAGACAGAGUGAUUGUUCACUGCUUUAAAUUUGCAAAAUAUAUCAUGAUGGUCACUUAUUACAAAGGAGCAGGCCAUGGUGAUGACAAAAGCUCAUUCUGGACCAUCUAAAAGUAACAGUCCUUUCACUUCUCUUUGCCUUCUAUGAUACCUGUGCUACCAUAUGCAACACAAUUGCUUCUCAAAUACAUGUUGCAGGUUUUGGAAACUCUAGCACUUCCCGUGGCUCCUACUCCAAGAAAAUCUAUAAAUGGUGGUGAUGUAGUAGUG